rnacentral:lncRNA from 1 species
UCCAAACUUAAGCCUCAACGUGUCCCCAAAACAACUGAUGCUCAUCAAGAUGAUAUCUUAGCUAUAAACCCAUAAGCCCACAGGCCUGAGGAGCACCUGCCAUGUUAGCAAAACUAACAUCUUAACUUAAAAAUCAUUUCACAGCAAAAAUUGACUCUGCCUAAGAGUAAGACCAAUUCUGCAUGGCAGGUGGAAUUGCCUAUUUGAUUGGUGUACCUGAAAGUGACAGGGAGAAUGGAACCAAGUUGGAAAACACUCUUCAGGUUAUUAUCAAGGAGAAUUUUCCUAACAUAGCAAGACAGGCCAACAUUCAAAUUCAGGAAAUACAGAGAACACCACAAAGAUACUCCUUGAGAAGAGCAACCCCAAGUCGGAUACAAAAUCAAUGUACAAAAAUCACAAGGAUUCCUAUACACCAAUAAUAGGAAAACAGAGAGACAAAUCAUGAGCAAACUCCCAUAUUCACUUUUUGCAAGUAAAUGAUACACAAACUUUGAUAUUUCCGAAUUAUUUUUAAAUGACUUGUUAAACACUAUGCAAGUGCUCCACUGGGAUGAAAGGGGCAGAAUUUACCCAUUGUCAGAUUAUUAUUUGUUUUCAGCAAACUCUGCUGCUACCAGAAAUCUGCAUCACGUGAGCUGAGAGAAGAGAAGAUUCUUUCUGCAAUAUGUUUUCCUUAUUAGCUGUCUGCCAGGGCUAUUACAGAGAGAGAAAACGGAAAACUUCAAUCUGCGACCGUAUGUCCAAUGUGUGUCCUUCUCUUUGACUCCCAGGAAAGAUCCUCUUUUUAAUUUCCAAAUUGGAUGACUUUGAUUAAUCUUAUUCUCUUGACCAUCAGUACUAUAGCUUAUUAAUC